GGAAAUUGAAAUAUGAAAACUUAAUCUCUGCAAAACCACUGUUAAAUGUGCCACUCUCUUUCAGGUUGACGUUGAGGUAUUAAAAAAGAGAGCAGAACGUUUUGGCAUGAAUGUCUCUUCAGUUUCUAAAAAGGUACCCUUUUUUUCAUAUUUAAAAAAAAAGCUUACAAAUGACAAGUAAUGUACAGAGCUAACAUUAGGAAAUUAGCUAUUUUAAUGUUUUGUUGCCUAUUUUGUGUGUUCACAGAUUGAGGAUGAUGAAAAGCUUAAGAAGAGAAAGGAGAGAUUUGGCAAUGUCACAAGUGCAGCGUCUUCUGGAGCCAAUGAUACAGAGAUUCAAGACACCCUCUGCCAGAUGCAGCAAAGCAGCCCCUGAACAUAACAGAGCUUCCUCCAUGUUUCACAGCAAAGAAGCGAAAACGUGCGGAGCGGUUUGGAAAUGUAUAAAAAUGGUUCUUACCCUUGUAUUUUUAUUCAUUUUUUUUAAGUGUUCUUUGCGGUUCAUUUUGAUAAGCUUGUAAUCCCUGUAGUGCCAUGGUUGUUUAUCUGCUAUUUACAUUAAAAGUACCCCAGUUCCUUACUAGUUUCUCUUUUGUCUUUCUUUCUUGAUAUGCUUGAUAGAUGAUUUGAAUUUGGCUUCGGGGUGUGUGGGUCCUUAAGGUAUUAAUAUGCAUCCUUCAGAAGUAGAUCAGGAAAGGUGUACCUAGAGGUAUAACGAUAUGGACUGAUGUAUGGAAUUACAUUUGCAUUGAUACAUUUCAAUAGUGUAAAAAAAUUGUAUUGAAG
rnacentral:lncRNA from 1 species